UACGAAGGGGGCUAGCGUUGCUCGGAAUCACUGGGCGUAAAGCGCACGUAGGCGGAUCUUUAAGUCAGGGGGUGAAAUCCUGGAGCUCAACUCCAGAACUGCCUCUGAUACUGGGGAUCUUGAGUCCGGAAGAGGUAAGUGGAACUGCGAGUGUAGAGGUGAAAUUCGUAGAUAUUCGCAAGAACACCAGUGGCGAAGGCGGCUUACUGGUCCGGUACUGACGCUGAGGUGCGAAAGCGUGGGGAGCAAACAGG
rnacentral:rRNA from 1 species